rnacentral:rRNA from 1 species
AUGUUCACGGGGUCCCGGUCUUGGCCAUGGAGAGGGGCGCAGCCCAGGCAAGCAGGGGAGGCCGUGGUGGGUGCACUGGGCCUGCACGUGCAGCGGUCAACGAGGCUGGGUGCUGCUAGUCGUCUCCUUCACCAGGAGACAGAACGAAUGUGCGGCAGCAGGGCGAGCAGGGGGGUGGCGCUGGUCAUCGUCGUUCGGCACGCAGAAGCAGGGUAG